UGUUGCCAAGACUGGAGUGCAGAGGCGCGAUCUCGUCUCAUUGCAGGCUCCGCCUCCACUGGACUCAGGGAACACACAGCAGUGGGAGCCAAGGCUGUCAGCGAUCGAGGACCACAGUAUACCUGAUGCCCUCCCUCCUGACCUGUGAUUGGGAUUGAGCUGAAGAUAGUCACUGACGUGAUUCAAAGGAUUAGCACUUGGUACAGGAUGAACCGUUGUCCACAUUCUCUUCUCUGAGUCAAAGAGGAGGAAGAUCUGUCCAUCGAAACUGAACUGCCAAGAUCCGCUGCUGUGUCCUUCGGCUUUCUGCUCACAAGACAUCCUUGCCUGCAGGGUGAGGGGUUCUGCCCCCAUCAGAGAGAGAUCAGCUCUGGCCUUGACAGAUAUUGAGCCCCCAUCCUCUUCCACUUGCAAUUUCCUGGUCUUACUUGCUCUGCCACAUCCUGGCCUUGCCUCUAGACGUCUUGCGGGGUUGCCAUUGCCUGCUGUUGCUCUACAAAGGGACAGGACUGGACACUGAGACGGAGAACCCACGGCCUGCAAAGAUCACAGGGCAUCCUUCCUCCCUUUCUAGAAAGGGUUUGCUGACCCCUGUCUACACACUGACUAUUCUCUAUGACGCUGGCGCCCCAGUAGGAACAACAGGCAGGUCUGGGCCCCAAGGGCAGAAGUGGGUGCCUCUACUCACCAGAGUUCCCAGGGUCAUCCUGGAGGAAAUGGUGCUUCCCAUGCCCCCUGCACAGGUUCUGUGGGGAGCUUGGGGUGUGUUUGCUGGGGUGUGUCCUCAGGCAAGAGGCAGAAGGUGUCACGUGGUGUAAGAGGUCGCGAGGGCCCCUUCAUGGAUGGGGAGACCUCUGGGGUGACCAGCUGGGCUGAGGUGGGG
rnacentral:lncRNA from 1 species